rnacentral:misc_RNA from 1 species
GAUGAAGAACGUAGCGAAAUGCGAUAAUUAAUGUGAAUUGCAGAAUUCCGUGAAUCAUCGAGUCUUUGAACGCACAUUGCGCCUCAUGGCAUUCCGUGAGGCAUGUCCAUCUCAGCGUUAGAAAAUAUUCUCAAAUUUUAGUUUUGUGCUAAAAUUUGGAUCAUGUCAAGGAAGCUAUUACUAUUAUUGUGAUCGCUCUUUGGAAAUUGAUAGGUCUUUGAGUUGCUACUCAUAGAACGUGAUGAAUCUUUCUUCGUUCUAUUGUAAUUCACUCUGGUAGUCCUAAAACUUGUAUGCCUGUGGCAUAUCUUGUAAUUUGACCUGAGAUUGGGUAGGGAUACCCGCUGAACUUAAGCAUAUCAAUAAGCGGAGGA